rnacentral:rRNA from 1 species
AGGACGAACGCUGGCGGCGUGCUUAACACAUGCAAGUGGAGCGACGAACCAGGGCUUGCCCUGGGGCAGAGCCGCGAACGGGUGAGUAACACGUGGGUUACCUGCCUUGAUGACCGGGACAACCCGAGGAAACUCGGGCUAAUACCGGAUGUGCCCGCAAGGGGAAAGGAAGCUUCGGCCUCCGCAUCAAGAUGGGCCCGCGGCCCAUUAGCUAGUUGGUGAGGUAACGGCUCACCAAGGCUUCGAUGGGUAGCUGGUCUGAGAGGACGAUCAGCCACACUGGGACUGAGACACGGCCCAGACUCCUACGGGAGGCAGCAGUGGGGAAUCUUGCGCAAUGCGCGAAAGCGUGACGCAGCAACGCCGCGUGGGGAAGAAGGCUUUCGGGUGUAAACCCUUUCAGUUGGGACGAAGCUUCUCCGGUGAAUAGCCGGACGGAGUGACGGUACCUUCACAAGAAGCACCGGCUAACUACGUGCCAGCAGCCGCGGU